UGAUAUGAACCGUUAUAACCGGCGAUACCCGAAUGGGGAAACCCAGUGUGUUUCGACACACUAUCAUGUCAUGAAUACAUAGUGGCAUGAGGCGAACCGGGGGAACUGAAACAUCUAAGUACCCCGAGGAAAAGAAAUCAACCGAGAUUCCCCCAGUAGCGGCGAGCGAACGGGGAGGAGCCCAGAACCUGAAUCGGCUUGUGUGUUAGUGGAAGCGUCUGGAAAGUCGCGCAGCAAAGGGUGAUAGCCCCGUACACUAAAAUGCACAGGUCGUGAGUUCGAUGAGUAGGGCGGGACACGUGACAUCCUGUCUGAAUAUGGGGGGACCAUCCUCCAAGGCUAAAUACUCCUGACUGACCGAUAGUGAACCAGUACCGUGAGGGAAAGGCGAAAAGAACCCCGGCGAGGGGAGUGAAAUAGAACCUGAAACCGUGUACGUACAAGCAGUGGGAGCACCUUCGUGGUGUGACUGCGUACCUUUUGUAUAAUGGGUCAGCGACUUA
rnacentral:rRNA from 1 species